GAUCUCGAGGAAUAUUGUUCCACUUGUCCCGCAUAUCAAACUUAAGCUGACUUUAUGAUAUUGGUGGUGUUUUUCAUCGUCUAAACCAUGUCCAAUCUGAUGCAAAAUGUUCUCGAUUGGACCAAAAACGGACGAAACACAUGAAUUUUGGCCAAGAUGGGUGCCAAAUGUCUAUGUAACCGCCACUGACGGUUUUGGGUACACAAUGAAUGAUUUUUGGUCUAUAGAAUUCGAUAUUUACGCCUUACGGCCGUUUAGAUGUCACUAAGGAAAGAUCUUGAUGCUCUUUAACAAUUUCUGCGCAAAUGGUGCUUUACUGAAAUUGCUCCAAAGGAUCUACCGUGACCACCAUUGAACUCUCGUGACCUUUGUACACCCAUCAAGGUCAAUAUCGAAUAUGCUUAAGACCAAAUGUAUCGGUCUGGCUGAGCGUUUCAUGCUUUUUGUACCCCGGGAUGUCGCUUAUCAUUAAAUGAUCCAUUUUGGUUGAAUUUGUGGAUGAUUUGGGUUAUUGUAGAGGCUACAACUUCAGUCUUCUCGUAAUUGUAUGCAGUGAAAGGCUUCAUUGGAUCAUGCCAAAAAUUGCAUGUCGCUGGUUGUCAGAAAGUCCAGGCAUUAACUCAGAUGUUUAUUGCAG
rnacentral:lncRNA from 1 species